GUCCCUUCAGCGACAUCUAAUAAAAUUGGAACGAUGUAGAAAAAAUUAGCACGACACUUGCGUAAGGAUGGCAUGCAUAAAUUGAGAGAUGGUCUAAAACGUU